CCUACGGGAGGCAGCAGUGAGGAAUAUUGGUCAAUGGACGAGAGUCUGAACCAGCCAAGUAGCGUGAAGGAUGACUGCCCUAUGGGUUGUAAACUUCUUUUAUAUGGGAAUAAAAUGUUCCACGUGUGGGAUUUUGUAUGUACCAUAUGAAUAAGGAUCGGCUAACUCCGUGCCAGCCGCCGCGGUAAUACGGAGGAUCCGAGCGUUAUCCGGAUUUAUUGGGGUUAAAGGGAGCGUAGGUGGAUUGUUAAGUCAGUUGGGAAAGUUGGCGGCUCAACCGUAAAAUUGCAGUUGAAACUGGCAGUCGUGAGUACAGUAGAGGUGUGCGGAAUGCAUGGUGUAGCGGUGAAAUGCUUAGAUAUCACGAAGAACUCCGAUUGCGAAGGCAGCAUACCGGCGCUCAACUGACGCUCAUGCACGAAAGUGUGGGUAUCGAACAGGAUUAGAUACCCCAGUAGUC
rnacentral:rRNA from 1 species